AAGUAAAAGAGAGACAAGAAAAAAGAACAUAAAUAGCGAUGGGGACGCUGGGGCAGUGGCUCGCGAUUGCUUUUUUAUGUGGACGCUGGUGCAGUGGUGGCACACAUUUUUUUUUUUUUUUGCUUCCUUUUUUGCUUCUUGUGGGGAGAAGAAGAAGGAAGUGUUCAUUAAAAUAAAUAGAAAGAUAAA
rnacentral:ribozyme from 1 species